AUUGAACGCUGGCGGCAGGCCUAACACAUGCAAGUCGAGCGAGUGGCGGACGGGUGAGUAAUGUAUGGGGAACUGCCCGAUAGAGGGGGAUAACUACUGGAAACGGUGGCUAAUACCGCAUACCAUCGGAUGAGCCCAGAUGGGAUUAGCUAGUUGGUGGGGUAAAGGCUCACCUAGGCGACGAUCCCUAGCUGGUCUGAGAGGAUGAUCAGCCACACUGGGACUGAGACACGGUCCAGACUCCUACGGGAGGCAGCAGUGGGGAAUAUUGCACAAUGGGCGCAAGCCUGAUGCAGCCAUGCCGCGUGUAUGAAGAAGGCCUUAGGGUUGUAAAGUACUUUCAGCGGGGAGGCGUUACCCGCAGAAGAAGCACCGGCUAACUCCGUGCCAGCCGCCGCGGUAAUUC
rnacentral:rRNA from 1 species